rnacentral:rRNA from 1 species
UACGUAGGCAGCGAGCGUUGUUCGGAAUUACUGGGCGUAAAGAGUGUGUAGGCGGUGCUCUAAGUUCGGUGUGAAAUCUUCCGGCUUAACUGGGAGGGUGCGCCGGAAACUGGAGUGCUCGAGCGUGGGAGAGGAAAGCGGAAUUCCUGGUGUAGCGGUGAAAUGCGUAGAUAUCAGGAGGAACACCUGCGGUGUAGACGGCUUUCUGGACCAUUGCUGACGCUGAGACACGAAAGCGUGGGUAGCAAACAGG